rnacentral:ncRNA from 1 species
AUAAUUUGAUUCUGGUUAGUUCUGUUAAUUUUUAGAUAAUUUAUACAUGUAAGUUUUGGCGUGAUUUAUUGUUUGAACUUGACCUAGAUGGUUAGUUCUUUCUUUUUGUUUAUUAAUUCGCAGUUUUUAUUUUUAAAGUUUUCUAGUUUUUUGGGACUUAUUUAUUUUAAUUUUAUAAACUAGUUAAAAUUGUGCCAGCAACUGCGGUUACACAAUUAGUUAAAGUUAAUUUUUUUGAGUUAUAUAGUAUUAAAGUGUUUAUUAUUAAAUUAUAAUAAUUGGUUAUUAAUUUUAGGUGAAAUUUAAUUAUGAGUCAUUUGUUAUUAGGUAAAUUAAAUUAUAUGAUACUCUUGGUUUAGACUAGGAUUAGAUACCCUAUUAUUGAGAGUGUAAAUUUUUUACUUAUAUUAUUGUUAGUUAUGUUCUUUAAAGUAAAAGGAUUUGACGGUAAUUAUAUCAUUUCAGAGGAACCUGUCCUGUAAUUGAUAAUCCACGUUAAAUUUUACCUUAAUUUUUGGUUUGUAUAUCUCUGUCUAUUGAAUGUUUUAUGAGGAUUAAUUUUCUAUACUGUUUUAUUUAAUUUUAUGUCAGGUCAAGGUGCAGCUAUAUUAAGGGUAGAGAUGGGUUACAUUAAUCUUUAAAAUUUAUGGAUUAAUAUUUUUAUUUAUAUUAUGAAAUAGGAUUUGAUUGUAAUGUUUAUUAUAUUUUAAUUAUGAUAUUAGCUCUUUAUUAAGUACACAUCGCCCGUCGCUCUCAUUAUUUAAGAUGAGAUAAGUCGUAACAAAGUAGGCCUAUCGGAAGGUGGGCCUGGAUUUAUUU